CUUCGGAAUAUGGGGCAGUCACAUGAUGAACGAAUGCCUCGAACCUGAAGACUUGAGACGUGAACUAAUCAAAUGUGACGUGACAAAAGAAGAACGACUCAGAUCGGGAGGAGCUGAGUGCUUCCAGAGGCUGGGGGGGGUCCUUUGCUGCACCUUGGGCUUUACUUAAUUAAGGAAUUCACCAGACUUGUGUCGAUGGACCUGAGCAAGUCCUUUUAUGAGGGUCUUGACAAACACGCCUCAAAGCUGCUGUAUUUGUACCGCUCAAGGCGCUAUGCAGACAUCACAGAAAUGAGUGCCACACUGGAGAGCCUGGAUAAAAA
ensembl:lncRNA